rnacentral:rRNA from 1 species
AUUGAACGCUGGCGGCAGGCUUAACACAUGCAAGUCGAACGAUGAUUAUCUAGCUUGCUAGAUAUGAUUAGUGGCGGACGGGUGAGUAACAUUUAGGAAUCUACCUAGUAGUGGGGGAUAGCUCGGGGAAACUCGAAUUAAUACCGCAUACGACCUACGGGUGAAAGGGGGCGCAAGCUCUUGCUAUUAGAUGAGCCUAAAUCAGAUUAGCUAGUUGGUGGGGUAAAGGCCCACCAAGGCGACGAUCUGUAACUGGUCUGAGAGGAUGAUCAGUCACACCGGAACUGAGACACGGUCCGGACUCCUACGGGAGGCAGCAGUGGGGAAUAUUGGACAAUGGGGGCAACCCUGAUCCAGCCAUGCCGCGUGUGUGAAGAAGGCCUUUUGGUUGUAAAGCACUUUAAGCAGGGAGGAGAGGCUAAUGGUUAAUACCCAUUAGAUUAGACGUUAUCUGCAGAAUAAGCACCGGCUAAUUCCGUGCCAGCAGCCGCAGUAAUAC